UACGAAGGGGGCUAGCGUUGCUCGGAAUCACUGGGCGUAAAGGGUGCGUAGGCGGGUCUUAAGUCAGGGGUGAAAUCCUGGAGCUCAACUCCAGAACUGCCUUUGAUACUGAAGAUCUUGAGUUCGGGAGAGGUGAGUGGAACUGCGAGUGUAGAGGUGAAAAUUCGUAGAUAUUAGGAAGAACACCAGUGGCGAAGGCGGCUCACUGGCCCGGUACUGACGCUGAGGCGCGAAAGCGUGGGGGAGCAAACAGG
rnacentral:rRNA from 1 species